rnacentral:rRNA from 1 species
AGUGAACGCUGGCGGCAGGCCUAACACAUGCAAGUCGAACGACAACACAGUAAGAGUUCGCUCUUAAGGUUGGCGAGUGGCGGACGGGUGAGGCAUACAUAGGCAUCUACUUUUUCGUGGGUGACAACGUAGGGAAACUUCUGCUAAUACCGCAUACGAUCUACGGCUGAAAGCAGGAGAUCUUCACACUUUGCGCGACUCAAUGAGCCGAUGUCGGAUUAGCUAGUUGGUGGGGUAAAGGCACACCAAGGCGACGAUCCGUAGCUGGUCUGAGAGGAUGAUCAGCCACACUGGAACUGAGACACGGUCCAGACUCCUACGGGAGGCAGCAGUGGGGAAUAUUGGACAAUGGGCGCAAGCCUGAUGCAGCCAUGCCGCGUGAGUGAAGAAGGCCUUCGGAUUGUAAAGCCCUUUUGUUAGGAAAGAAAAGCAGCAGGAGAAUACCCCGCUGUUCUGACGGUACCCAAAGAGUAAGCACCGGCUAACUUCGUG